GAUGAACGCUAGCGGCAGGCUUAAUACAUGCAAGUCGAGGGGCAGCACGAAUAGCAAUAUUUGGUGGCGACCGGCAAACGGGUGCGGAACACGUACGCAACCUUCCUUUAAGUGGAGAAUAGCCCGGGGAAACCCGGACGUUAAUACUCCGUAACAUUAUAAAGUAGGCAUCACUUAGUAAUUAUAGAUUUAUCGCUUAAAGAUGGGCGUGCGCCUGAUUAGGUAGUUGGCGGAGUAAAG
rnacentral:rRNA from 1 species